rnacentral:misc_RNA from 1 species
GAUGAAGAACGCAGCGAAAUGCGAUAAGUAAUGUGAAUUGCAGAAUUCAGUGAAUCAUCGAAUCUUUGAACGCACAUUGCGCCCCUUGGUAUUCCGAGGGGCAUGCCUGUUCGAGCGUCAUUUCAACCCUCAAGCCUGGCUUGGUGUUGGGGCUCUGCGUCUGCAGUCCCUUAAAUCCAGUGGCGGACACGCUAGGUCUCCGAGCGCAGUAGUUUCUCCUCGCUCAGGGCGUCCGGCGUGGGCUUGCCUCGCACCCAUCUUUUACAAGGUUGACCUCGGAUCAGGUAGGAAUACCCGCUGAACUUAAGCAUAUCAAUAAGCGGAGGA